rnacentral:rRNA from 1 species
GACGAACCGUGCGAACGUUGUUCGGAAUCACUGGGCUUAAAGGGCGCGUAGGCGGGCCAUCAAGUCAGAGGUGAAAUCCCCCGGCUCAACCGGGGAACUGCCUUUGAUACUGGCGGUCUGGAGUAAGGUAGGGGCAUGCGGAACUGAUGGUGGAACGGUGAAAUGCGUUGAUAUCUACAGGAACUCCGGUGGCGAAAGCGGCGUGCUGGAUCUCUUCUGACGCUGAGGCUCGAAAGCUAGGGGAGCAAACGGG